UUAAAUUGAAGAGUUUGAUCAUGGCUCAGAUUGAACGCUGGCGGUAGGCCUAACACAUGCAAGUCGAACGGUAGCACAGAGAGCUUGCUCUCGG
rnacentral:rRNA from 1 species